AUUAAUUGUGUUGCCAAAAAAAAAUAUAUAUAUAUAUUAACCGGAACUAACAAAAUAAUAUAAACAUGACGCGGACGCGCAUCAUCGUGCACGCGCAGGUGCAGGUCGCAGGAGCGUUUUCAAAUAUCGAUUUGUAACGGCUCCUUUCCUCCAUUUCAUGACGGCUGUCAUCUCUAACACACGGAAGAACAUCCACAUAAACCCUGAAAUUGUUCAGUAUUCUCUCAAACAGCCGUUUGAGUCACCUCAAAUGUAGCAGUGGGCCAGAUUGAAAUGGUCCGAUGCACUUCACUUGCAAUGCAGAUCAUCAUUUCUGGACAGCUUUCUACUUACUGCUGUGGACAUGAAAGGAUCGUCCUAGGCUUGCCCAUGCUGAUGGGCUGCACCACAGCAGUACUGGAGCUGAAUUCCUGUUAGAAAACAUCUUCAGGAUGCUUUGACCAGGACACCUCCAAUGUGAAGCAGUGGACAGCUGAAGAUGUUGCUGGCUGUUAUUGCUAGA